UAAUACGUAGGGUGCGAGCGUUAAUCGGAAUUACUGGGCGUAAAGCGUGCGCAGGCGGUUUUGUAAGACAGGCGUGAAAUCCCCGGGCUCAACCUGGGAACUGCGCUUGUGACUGCAAGGCUAGAGUAUGGCAGAGGGGGGUGGAAUUCCACGUGUAGCAGUGAAAUGCGUAGAGAUGUGGAGGAACACCAAUGGCGAAGGCAGCCCCCUGGGCCAAUACUGACGCUCAUGCACGAAAGCGUGGGUAGCAAACAGG
rnacentral:rRNA from 1 species